AAAAGAAUGAUAAGCCCAAAAGGGCUCAAAAAGGUAACAAAAAUAGGUGCAAGUUGUGUGAGGUACUUGGGCACAGAAUUGGUUCAUCCAAAUGCAUCUACACUCCUCAGAGGCCAAAGAGGAAGCGUGCAGAAAAAGCCCCACCUCUUGUUGUUGAACAAUGCUGGCCAGUGAAAAAAGCAAGACUCAAUGGCUUUAGAAGGAAGAGCACUAAGCAGAUAAUGUUUGGUGACAAAGAUAUGGAGCAAACUGAAACUGUUACUGCUGAACAUGAGCUAAGUGUUUCUGUUUUGGACGAUGUGAUGCAUACUGAAUCUGUUUUGCAGGCGCUAGGGCAAUCUGAAACUGUUGCAGAUGAAGCAACUGUUGUGCUGCCAAGUGUUGAGUUGCAAACUGAAGUAGUUGAACAAUGUGUGCCAUCUACUCAAUCUGCAGAAGUGCAAACUGAAGAAGUGGGACAUGGUCAGGUGCAAAAGUUGAGGGGGCCUAGUGGA